CACGUAGGGUGCGAGCGUUGUCCGGAAUUAUUGGGCGUAAAGAGCUCGUAGGCGGUGUGUCGCGUCGGCCGUGAAAACCUGCAGCUUAACUGUGGGCUUGCGGUCGAUACGGGCAUCACUGGAGUUCGGCAGGGGAGACUGGAAUUCCUGGUGUAGCGGUGAAAUGCGCAGAUAUCAGGAGGAACACCGGUGGCGAAGGCGGGUCUCUGGGCCGAUACUGACGCUGAUGCACGAAAGCGUGGGGAGCAAACAGG
rnacentral:rRNA from 1 species